rnacentral:tRNA from 1 species
GAACCUAUAGCUCAGUCUGGUUAGAGCGCCGGUCUUAUAAGCCGGAGGCCCUGAGUCCAAAUCUCAGUAGGUUCA